UACGGAGGGUGCAAGCGUUACUCGGAAUUACUGGGCGUAAAGCGCGUGUAGGUGGUUUUGUAAGUCUGGUGUGAAAUCCCGGGGCUCAACCCCGGAAGUGCAUUGGAUACUGCAAGACUAGAGUGCAGGAGAGGAUGGUGGAAUUCCAGGUGUAGAGGUGAAAUUCGUAGAUAUCUGGAGGAACAUCGGAGGCGAAGGCGACCAUCUGGACUGCAACUGACACUGAGACGCGAAAGCGUGGGGAGCAAACAGG
rnacentral:rRNA from 1 species